rnacentral:rRNA from 1 species
AUGAACGCUGGCGGCGUGCCUAAUCCAUGCCAGUCGAGCGAACAGACGAAGAGCUUGCUCCUCUGACGUUAGCGGCGGACGGGUGAGUAACACGUGGAUAACCUACCUAUAAGACUGGGAUAACUUCGGGAAACCGGAGCUAAUACCGGAUAAUAUAUUGAACCGCAUGGUUCAAUAGUGAAAGACGGUUUUGCUGUCACUUAUAGAUGGAUCCGCGCCGCAUUAGCUAGUUGGUAAGGUAACGGCUUACCAAGGCAACGAUGCGUAGCCGACCUGAGAGGGUGAUCGGCCACACUGGAACUGAGACACGGUCCAGACUCCUACGGGAGGCAGCAGUAGGGAAUCUUCCGCAAUGGGCGAAAGCCUGACGGAGCAACGCCGCGUGAGUGAUGAAGGUCUUCGGAUCGUAAAACUCUGUUAUUAGGGAAGAACAAAUGUGUAAGUAACUAUGCACGUCUUGACGGUACCUAAUCAGAAAGCCACGGCUAACUACGUG